rnacentral:rRNA from 1 species
AACGCGAAGAACCUUACCAGGUCUUGACAUCCUUUUGCCAUCCCUAGAGAUAGGGCUUUCCCUUCGGGGACAAAAGUGACAGGUGGUGCAUGGUUGUCGUCAGCUCGUGUCGUGAGAUGUUGGGUUAAGUCCCGCAACGAGCGCAACCCUUGAUCUUAGUUGCCAGCAUUUAGUUGGGCACUCUAAGGUGACUGCCGGUGACAAACCGGAGGAAGGUGGGGAUGACGUCAAAUCAUCAUGCCCCUUAUGACCUGGGCUACACACGUGCUACAAUGGAUGGUACAAAGGGCAGCGAAACCGCGAGGUUUAGCCAAUCCCAUAAAACCAUUCUCAGUUCGGAUUGUAGGCUGCAACUCGCCUACAUGAAGCCGGAAUCGCUAGUAAUCGCGGAUCAGCAUGCCGCGGUGAAUACGUUCCCGGGCCUUGUACACACCGUAGUAC